rnacentral:rRNA from 1 species
AGGUUAAGCUACAAAGAGCACACGGAGGAUGCCUAGGCGCCAGGAGCCGACGAAGGACGUGGCGAACAACGAUAAGGCCUCGGGGAGCUGUAAGCAAGCUUUGAUCCGGGGAUGUCCGAAUGGGGAAACCCGGCUGUCUUCAUCGACAGUCACUACUCACUGAAUUCAUAGGUGAGUGAGAGGCAGACCAGGGGAACUGAAACAUCUAAGUACCCUGAGGAAGAGAAAACAAUAGUGAUUCCGUCAGUAGCGGCGAGCGAACGCGGAUUAGCCCAAACCAAGGAGCUUGCUCCUUGGGGUUGUGGGACGUCUCACAUGGAGUUACAAAGGAACCGGUUAGAUGAAGAGGUCUGGAAAGGCCCGCCAGAGAAGGUAAAAGCCCUGUAGUUCAAAACUUGUUCCCUCCGAGACGGAUCCCGAGUAGUGCGGGGCACGUGAAACCCCGUAUGAAUCCGGCAGGACCAUCUGCCAAGGCUAAAUACUCCCUGGCGACCGAUAGUGAAGCAGUACCGUGAGGGAAAGGUGAAAAGCACCCCGGAAGGGGAGUGAAAUAGAUCCUGAAACCGUGUGCUUACAAGAAGUCAGAGCCC